AGUGAACGCUGGCGGCGUGUCUAACACAUGCAAGUCGAACGCGAAAGUCCCGCAAGGGAUAAGUAGAGUGGCAGACGGGUGAGUAAUGCAUAGGUAAUCUACCCUUGAGUGGGGGAUAACUCCGGGAAACCGGUGCUAAUCCCGCAUGAUUUCCAGAUGCACAAGUAUUUGGAUCAAAGGGGGGGCUCCUUCGGGACCUCUUGCUUGAGGAUGAGCCUAUGUCCUAUUAGCCAGUUGGUGAGGUAAUGGCCCACCAAGGCUCUGAUGGGUAGCCGAGCUGAGAGGCUGAUCGGCCACACUGGAGCUGAAACACGGCCCAGACUCCUACGGGAGGCAGCAGUGGGGAAUAUUGCGCAAUGGGGGAAACCCUGACGCAGCGACGCCGCGUGAGCGAUGAAGGCCUUAGGGUUGUAAAGCUCUGUUUUAGGGGACGAAUGUCUAGAUCAGUAAUAUGGGUUUAGAAUGACGGUACCCUAAGAGGAAGCCCCGGACUAACU
rnacentral:rRNA from 1 species